AGCAGCCGCGGUAAUUCCAGCUCCAAUAAGCGUAUAUUAAAGUUGUUGCAGUUAAAAAGCUCGUAGUUGAAUUUCGGGACUAAUAUGUCGGUCGUACUUUGUACGUACUAGCAUUAUUGGUUUCUCCCUUCUGUACGAACCACGAUGUCAUUAAUUUGGUGUCAUGGGGAAUCAGGACUGGUUACUUUGAAAAAUUAGAGUGUUUAAAGCAAGCUCGCGCUUGAAUACAUUAGCAUGGAAUAAUGAAAUAGGACGUUUGAUUCUAUUUUGUUGGUUUCUAGGAUCGACGUAAUGAUUAAUAGGGAUAGUUGGGGGCAUUAGUAUUCAAUUGUCAGAGGUGAAAUUCUUGGAUUUAUUGAAGACUAACUACUGCGAAAGCAUUUGCCAAGGAUGUUUUCAUUAAUCAAGAACGAAAGUUAGGGGAUCGAAGACGAUCAGAUACCGUCGUAGUCUUAACCAUAAACUAUGCCGACUAGGGAUCGGAUGAUGUUAAUUUUUAAUGACUCAUUCGGCGCCUUAC
rnacentral:rRNA from 1 species